rnacentral:rRNA from 1 species
GACGAACGCUGGCGGCGCGCCUAACACAUGCAAGUCGAACGGAGCUGAGAGAAGCUUGCUUUUCUUAGCUUAGUGGCGAACGGGUGAGUAACGCGUGAGUAACCUGCCCUGGAGUGGGGGACAACAGUUGGAAACGACUGCUAAUACCGCAUAAGCCCACGAUCCGGCAUCGGAUUGAGGGAAAAGGAUUUAUUCGCUUCAGGAUGGACUCGCGUCCAAUUAGCUAGUUGGUGAGGUAACGGCCCACCAAGGCGACGAUUGGUAGCCGGACUGAGAGGUUGAACGGCCACAUUGGGACUGAGACACGGCCCAGACUCCUACGGGAGGCAGCAGUGGGGGACAUUGCACAAUGGGGGAAACCCUGAUGCAGCGACGCCGCGUGAAGGAAGAAGGUUUUCGGAUUGUAAACUCCUGUCGUGAGGGACGAUAAUGACGGUACCUAACAAGAAAGCACCGGCUAACUACGUG